rnacentral:lncRNA from 1 species
ACGAGAUUUACAUGGAAACCCAAAUCUGGAAAAUCACUGUCAAAUGUGGAGAAUUUACUAUAAUCAAUAGUAAGGAAUUACAAAGGAUCUCUUUAGAUCAAUAACUAAUUGGACAAUUGAUCAAUUUCAAUAUUUCUUUUAAAUCACAUAUUUAUAACCAGAGGAUCCCUACCACACUAGAAGAAUUAAUACAUGAAGAGUUUAAAUAAAGUAAAGUCCUAAUAUGAUGGGUAAAAUCAAUAAUGAAUAAUUUCGGAUGAAAUAUGAGUCAAAUUCAUCUAGAACUCGUUCAAGACAUCUUCAAGUCUGCUACCAACUCCCAAUAUUUCUUCAACAACAUUUACAAUCAAAUACUCAAUAAGAAUUCGAGUCACAAUCCAAUUCUAACAAAUUCUACAUUGACACGAAUUCCAUUGCAAUGAAGAAAACUUAACUUUAAUUCUAACAAAAUUCUCCAAACAAAACACUCCACCAAAAUACUCUACCUCUUCCAUCGUGCCUUUUCGAGCAUACUCAACAAAUCUAAACUGAAUUCAAGCACUGGUUACUAGCAGAAUUACCUUGGACUCCAUACUUGCUCGAAUCACCACAAACAACGGAAUCAUUACGUUCACAACUAACUCCAUUAGAGUUAACAAAUUUGCUUGAAUUAUCUCUACGAGCAAAAAGAUCACAACUCCUUACUUUGCUUCCCCUCCAGCGUCCAAACAAGAAUCUGCCAUAACAAAAUUUGGCAUUGCGAUCCAAAAGCGGAAUCUCAUAUUUCAUGCUUGACAUCCCUAAAACAAUCAACAUUGUUCAAACCUCGCUUUAAUAGCCAAUCCGCCCCUCCCAAAACUCGUCAAAACCUUGGUUCUGAUACCAAUUGUUCGAGACAAAC